rnacentral:rRNA from 1 species
GACGAACGCUGGCGGCGUGCUUAAUACAUGCAAGUCGAACGGAAAGGCCCUGCUUUUGUGGGGUUCUCGAGUGGCGAACGGGUGAGUAACACGUGAGUAACCUGCCCUUGACUUUGGGAUAACUUCAGGAAACUGCGGCUAAUAUCGGAUAGGAGCUCCUGCUGCAUGGUGGUGGUUGGUAAGUUUCGGCUGUUGGGGAUGUACUCGCGGGUUAUCAGCUUGUUGGUCGGGUAGUUGCUUACCAAGGUUUCGACGGGUAGCCGGCGUGAGAGGGUGACCGGGGACAUUGGUACUGAGAUAGGGCCCAGAAUCCUACGGGAGGCAGCGGUGGGGAAUAUUGCACAAUGACCGGAAGCCUGAUGCAGCAACGCCGCGUGCGGGAUGACGGCCUUCGGGUUGUAAACAGCUUUCGCAUGUGACGAAGAGUGAGUGACGGUAAUGGGUAAAGAAGCACCGGCUAACUACGUG